GUGCUUGCUUCGGCAGCUCAUAUACUAAAAAUUGGAACAGUACAAAAAAGAUUAGCAUGACCCCUGCACAAGGAUGACACGCAAAUUUGUGAAGCAUUCCAUAUUUUU